CCUACGGGAGGCAGCAGUGAGGAAUAUUGGUCAAUGGACGAGAGUCUGAACCAGCCAAGUAGCGUGAAGGAUGACUGCCAUAUGGGUUGUAAACUUCUUUUAUAAAGGAAUAAAACGAGGCACGUGUGCCUUUUUGCAUGUACUUUAUGAAUAAGGAUCGGCUAACUCCGUGCCAGCAGCCGCGGUAAUACGGAGGAUGCGAGCGUUAUCCGGAUUUAUUGGGGUGAAAGGGUGCGCAGGCGGAGGCACAAGUCAGCGGUAAAAUCGCGGGGCUCAACCCCGCUCCGCCGGUGAAACUGUUUCCCGUGAGUGCGCGAAGGGUAGGCGGAAUGCGUGGUGUAGCGGUGAAAUGCAUAGAUAUCACGCAGAACUCCGAUCGCGAAGGCAGCCUACCGGCGCGCAACUGACGCUCAUGCACGAAAGCGUGGGUAUCGAACAGGAUUAGAUACCCCAGUAGUC
rnacentral:rRNA from 1 species